CCAGAGACCAGCAACAACAAAAGUCUGUUAUGGUCUCUGAGGAAAUGGCAAGAAGAGAGGAUUAAAUUGGAGACUGAUGUGAGCUGGAAAUAAAGAGGAUCUCAGGCCAAGCAACAGAGCAGAUACUCCACUGAUAUUCAGGAAACAUACAGCACCUGCAUGCAUGGUUGAGCCAGAACAGGGAAGAUGUUGGUGUGAUCAUCCAUCUCUCUCUGGCUGCUGUGUUUGUUGCUAAUGUCUCAAAGACUCACUUGGGAAUAGAUGCUUCUCCCUGGAGCCCCUUGGUACCAGCCCAAGAUGACUUA
rnacentral:lncRNA from 1 species